CAAUAGCGUAUAUUUAAGUUGUUGCAGUUAAAAAGCUCGUAGUUGGAUUUCGGUUAAGAGCGACCGGUCCGCCGUUUGGUGUGCACUGGUUGGUUUUAACUUCCUGUAGAGGACGUGCUCUGGGUUUAACGACCUGGACUCGGAGUCUGCGUGGUUACUUUGAAAAAAUUAGAGUGUUCAAAGCGGGCUUACGCUUGAAUAUUUCGGCAUGGAAUAACACUAUAGGACUCCUGUCCUAUUUCGUUGGUCUCGGGACGGGAGUAAUGAUUAAGAGGAACAGUUGGGGGCAUUCGUAUUUCAUUGUCAGAGGUGAAAUUCUUGGAUUUAUGAAAGACGAACUUCUGCGAAAGCAUUUGCCAAGGAUGUUUUCAUUAA
rnacentral:rRNA from 1 species